UUGCUUGUUCUAGCUUGCUCUCAUCUCCGGCUAUUGAUUCAUUUCAUCGUUUCUACACCGUUAUCGACUUGUUAAGAGGUCACUAGCUUCAUCUUCUCAACAUUUAGAAGCGGCGUAUGUCAUUUCCUAGUGCUAUGUAUAUUAUUUUUUAUUUUAUGGUUUUUUUAAGAGGUUAUUGGCUUCAUCGCCAUUUCAAAAGCGACGCGUUUUUUUAGAGAAAUAGUGGUAAUAUGUUUUUUAUUUUAAUUAGUUU
rnacentral:lncRNA from 1 species